rnacentral:rRNA from 1 species
AUUGAACGCUGGCGGCAGGCCUAACACAUGCAAGUCGAACGAGUGGCGGACGGGUGAGUAAUGUCUGGGAAACUGCCUGAUGGAGGGGGAUAACUACUGGAAACGGUAGCUAAUACCGCAUACCAUCGGAUGUGCCCAGAUGGGAUUAGCUAGUGGGUGGGGUAACGGCUCACCUAGGCGACGAUCCCUAGCUGGUCUGAGAGGAUGACCAGCCACACUGGAACUGCUACACGGUCCAGCCUCCUACGUGAGGCAGCAGUGGGGAAUAUUGCACAAUGGGCGCAAGCCUGAUGCAGCCAUGCCGCGUGUAUGAAGAAGGCCUUCGGGUUGUAAAGUACUUUCAGCGGGGAGGCGUUACCCUCAGAAGAAGCACCGGCUAACUCCGUGCCAGCAGCCGCGGUAAUUC